rnacentral:lncRNA from 12 species
AUGGAGCCUUGGCCUUGAGCCUUGAUGUAAUCCAAUUCUAAAUAAAUCAUAAAUCUAAGUGCAGACUGGUAAGGCAAAAGGAAUACCAAUGCCGGCCAAGGAGUAGCGAGCGGGCAGUGGUGGCCAGGAUUGAUUCUGGGGUGUGAAGCGGGGAGCGCUGACAGGAGGAGGGCCAUGACCAGCCUGCAGGGAUGUACCUCCUUCUCUUCUGGCCUCGCCAGCCUCCACUGGAGCUGCCAGACCUCAGUGGUGCGAAUGAGAGAUCACUGCUGAAUUAGCCACAAGGCCACGCAUCCUGCUGCCGCCUAAAUUUUCUUGGAUGAAGGGAUUUUUCAUCAUAAAAGGUGCUGAAUUGCUAACAUUUGGGCUAGUUUCACGUAUCCCUCACUUGGAAGAACCCAGAAGUUAGCUGAGAGUUUCUCACUGGCCGCAAGUCUGCUGGGGUGUGAGAAGGUACUAUAGUUUAAGCUCUUGGAUACGGAAUAAUCCUAUACCCGUGUGAGGGGGUAACAGGAACAAAGAUGACUGUUAAUGCAGAAUGCUGACAUUCUUCCUCAUUUUCUGUUUUUGAAGAGAAAGAGACAAUGAAUGAAUGGUGGACUGGAGAACCAAAAUGUUGAUUUUACAUAUGCUGGAAAGGGCAAGGCUGCUCUGGGGAGGAAAAGAAGAAUCUAGAAGAGUGUGAGCAGGGAUUAAGAAUCACAUGAGCCAUGGUGGACUGGGUUCCUAUUGAUAUUUUGAUCCAUCAGAACGGCAUCAAGCGCCAGAUUUACUGCACAGCUCUGAAGUUCCUUACAAGGCAAGGAGAAGAUCAAAGAACACUGACCUGUACAUACAGAACUAAAAGGAUAACAGAGAAAUAAAAACAAACGUACUCCAUGGUAUCACCUAUACCGGGAAUCUAAAGAAAAAUCAGCUCGUAGAAACAGGGACAAAAAGUGGCUGCCAAGACCUGGAAGGUGGGAGAAAGGGUGAUAAAGGGCACAAGCUUUCAGCGAUUAGAUGAAUAGGGUCUGAAGUCCUAAUGUAUAACAUGGUGACUACAGUUGCUAACACUACAAAGUACCAUUGAAAUUUGCUAAGACAGUAGAACCUAAACAUGCUCAACAACUUUUUUUUUUUUUUUUUUUUUUUUAAUGUACUACUGAUUUCUGCUUCUUUUUUCUUUUCCUGGUAAGCUGGACCACCCUGGGAUGCAACUAUCCAGGGCUUUAAAGUCCAGUCAUGCAUUUGUACAAAGUCACACACUUUAAACUGCUAAGAGAUAAAGUCUGUUAAUUCUUGGCCCAAGCACAAGGAAAUACACUCUCUACUUGUUAGCUGUGAAGCAGACAACUUAGAGUUCUCUUCUUUAAUCCCUGUGAGAUAUAUAUAUAUAUAUAUAUAUAUAUAUAUAUAUAUAUAUAUAUAUAGUUAUGGCCCCUAUCUGGAAAAAAAAAAAAAGGCAGCAGCUAGCCGACACUUUU